AUGACACGUUUUGGUUUUGAUCCGAUGUGGGUCGCAAUGAUAAUGAGAUGCGUCACCUCGGCGCGUUUUUCUGUAAAGUUAAAUGGUGGGCUAUCGAGGAGCUUUACACCUUCUCGGGGUUUAAGACAGGGGGAUCCGUUGUCACCAUAUUUGUUCCUCUUCCGCGUGGAGGGUUUUUCAGCGCUACUCAAGAAGGCUCAAACUGACAAACAACUUUCCGGGGUGAAGUGUGGGAGCACUGGCCCCCAUAUAACUCACUUGUUGUUUGCAGAUGAUAGUAUAGUUUUCCUUGAGGGAACCAAGGAGAAAAUGGAAACACUAAAACAGAUCCUUGAAAAGUAUGAGAAAUCAUCCGGACAGAAGGUAAAUGUGCAGAAAUCCUCCAUCUUUUUUGGAAAAGGAAGCCAUGAUGUGAUGAAGGAUCAGAUUAAGCAGAUUGUGGGGAUUCAAUCUGAGGCUCUUAUGGAACGAUACUUGGGCCUCCCAACACUGGUUGGUAGGUCCAAGGAUGGCACUUUUAAAUAUGUUACGGAGUGUGCUAAGGGUAAAGUGUGUGGUUGGAAGGGGCAAGGAUUGUCCAAAGCAGCUAGAGAAGCUCUCGUCAAAUCUGUCCUGCAAGCGACACCGACCUAUACCAUGAGUUGUUUUCACCUCUCGAAGAAGAUGUGCUGGAAGCCUGGAACCUGA
rnacentral:rRNA from 1 species